UGGCCAGACUCCUACGGGAGGCAGCAGUGGGGAAUAUUGCACAAUGGGGGAAACCCUGAUGCGGCGACGCCGCGUGAGUGAAGAAGUAAUUCGUUAUGUAAAGCUCUAUCAGCAGGGAAGAAAAUGACGGUACCUGAGUAAGAAGCCCCGGCUAACUACGUGCCAGCAGCCGCGGUAAUACGUAGGGGGCAAGCGUUAUCCGGAUUCACUGGGUGUAAAGGGAGCGUAGACGGCGACGCAAGUCUGGAGUGAAAGCCCGGGGCCCAACCCCGGGACUGCUCUGGAAACUGCGUCGCUGGAGUACGGGAGGGGCAGGCGGAAUUCCUGGUGUAGCGGUGAAAUGCGUAGAUAUCAGGAGGAACACCGGCGGCGAAGGCGGCCUGCUGGACCGUGACUGACGUUGAGGCUCGAGAGCGUGGGGAGCAAACAGGAUUAGAUACCCCGGUAA
rnacentral:rRNA from 1 species